GGAUUACACUAGUCAAGGUGAGAGAGGACAGCGGCAUGAACAAGCACCUUAGCAGUAUCACGCGUUAAAUAAGGGCGUUUUUCAGAUGGAAGCGGAAGAGUUUUGCGAUUGAUUGGACAUCAAGGGUGAAGGAGAGAUCAGAGUAAAGGAGAACACCUAGACAAAAAGCCAUAGCGGUAGAGCUGAUGGUAGCGCAAUUGAACCAAAA